rnacentral:rRNA from 1 species
GUGCACCAGGCGAGAAAACUUUACAAUGUGCGAAAGCACGAUAAGGGAACUCUGAGUGCCUCCUAAGGAGGCUGUUCUGAUGUCUAAAAAGCAACAGAAGUAAGGGCUGGGUAAGACCGGUGCCAGCCGCCGCGGUAACACCGGCAGCCCAAGUGGUAGCCACGUUUAUUGGGUCUAAAGCGUUCGUAGCCGGCCAGGUAAGUUCCUUGGUAAAUUUUAGCCGCUUAACGGUUAAGCUUUCAGGGAAUACUGCUUGGCUUGGGACUGGGAGAGGUCAGAGGUACUCCGGGGGUAGGGGUGAAAUCUAUUAAUCCCUGGGGGACCACCGGUAGCGAAGGCGUCUGACCAGACCAGGUCCGACGGUGAGGGACGAAGGCUAGGGGCGCGAACCGGAUUAGAUA